UUGCGCCUGCGGAGGACGCAGCACCACCCGUAAAGGGCCUUGCAGGCGGCAGGGUGGUGUCCCCGUCCGGUGAUCGGCAAUUUUGCCGAUUCAAAAUCAUUCC
ncrna:unclassified sequences RT-5 RNA